GACGAACGCUGGCGGCGUGCUUAACACAUGCAAGUCGAACGGAAAGGCCCUGCUUUUGUGGGGUUCUCGAGUGGCGAACGGGUGAGUAACACGUGAGUAACCUGCCCUUGACUUUGGGAUAACUUCAGGAAACUGGGGCUAAUACCGGAUAGGAGCUCCUGCUGCAUGGUGGGGGUUGGAAAGUUUCGGCGGUAGGGGAUGGACGCGCGGCUUAUCAGCUUGCUGGUGGGGUAGUGGUUUACCAAGGCUUUGACGGGUAGCCGGCCUGAGAGGGUGACCGGCCACAUUGGGACUGAGAUACGGCCCAGACUCGUACGGGAGGCAGCAGUGGGGAAUAUUGCACAAUGGGCGGAAGCCUGAUGCAGCAACGCCGCGUGCGGGAUGACGGCCUUCGGGUUGUAAACCGCUUUCGCCUGUGACGAAGCGUGAGUGACGGUAAUGGGUAAAGAAGCACCGGCUAACUACGUG
rnacentral:rRNA from 1 species